UACAGCCGUAUCAUGAUGGAACACCGGUUUCCGUACGAUCACUGAAGUUAAGCAACGUCGAACCUGGUCAGUACCUAGAUGUGUGACCACUUGGGUAUACCAGGUGCU